rnacentral:lncRNA from 1 species
UGCACCAAAGAGAAUAGCUCCACCUAUCCUUGAGCCAACAAGACUCGAUGCAAGUACUCAGUAGAGAAUCCAGGUUCUCCAUCUCUGAGUUGGCAAGCUUCAAACCAACUAUGAAGUUUUUUCAAGCUCUCACCAAGAGUCUCUUCUAAUUAUUAAGACUAGCUUAGAUGUUGCCAACCACUGUCCAUCUCAAUAGAAGUUUCAUGAGUAUUAUGUUCUAUACUGCAUAAGCAAAAUUGCUGACUUAAGGUCAUUAUAAGUAGAGAGGAGGGGGAAUUUCAUCGGAUGAGAGAGGAGUUUCAUCCCUGUAACACCCAUCAGGCUCGGUUACCAGGUCCUCAGUUUUGAUAACAAUGCAAUGAAAUAGUACACUAAGACUGGUGAAUAACAAAACUACAUGCCUCAAUUGAGCCAAAUCAAGCCUAAACAAUAGCUAGAGGUACACUUGCAACUCCCCUUCACUAAUGAUGAAUUGACGAUGUGCUUUAACCUUUAUUUAGAACUUUACUAAUCACCCUAGUGCUCUUCUUGACACUUGAAAUAUCACAAGGUAUCUCAACUCAUCACAAUGAAAAGAAUACUCAACUGGAUUAAGUUGAGGUGGUAUUUAUAAGAGUAAAG